CCUACGGGUGGCAGCAGUGAGGAAUAUUGGUCAAUGGACGCAAGUCUGAACCAGCCAUGCCGCGUGCAGGAAGACGGCCCUAUGAGUUGUAAACUGCUUUUGUACGAGGGUAAACGCAGACACGCGUAUCUGUCUGAAAGUAUCUUAUGAAUAAGGAUCGGCUAACUCCGUGCCAGCAGCCGCGGUAAUACGGAGGAUCCAAGCGUUAUCCGGAUUUAUUGGGGUUAAAGGGUGCGUAGGUGGUCGGAUAAGUCAGAGGUGAAAUCCCGGGGCUCAACUUCGGAAUUGCCGCUGAUACUGUUCGGCUAGGGGGAAGUUGCGGUAAGCGGAAUGUAUGGUGUAGCGGUGGAAUGCUUAG
rnacentral:rRNA from 1 species